rnacentral:misc_RNA from 1 species
UUAAGUUCAGCGGGUGGUCCUACCUGAUUUGAGGUCAAGUCAAAUGAAAUCCAAUCCAAUCCAAUCCAAUCUGGCAAACGUAAACGACCCUCGGAUGCAGAUAGAGUUAUCACACCCAACAAAGAGGCCUUUUAUUUCGCUCAUGUAUUUCAGGGGAGCAGACUGACCGACUGAGUCCGAGCCUGCAUCAUCCCCCAAGU